rnacentral:rRNA from 1 species
GUAGGUGGCAAGCGUUGUCCGGAAUUAUUGGGCGUAAAGCGCGCGCAGGGCGGUCCUUUAAGUCUGAUGUGAAAGCCCACGGCUCAACCGUGGAGGGUCAUUGGAAACUGGGGGACUUGAGUACAGAAGAGGAAAGCGGAAUUCCAAGUGUAGCGGUGAAAUGCGUAGAGAUUUGGAGGAACACCAGUGGCGAAGGCGGCUUUCUGGUCUGUAACUGACGCUGAGGCGCAAAAGCGUGGGGAGCAAACAGGAUUAGAUACCCUGGUAGUCCACGCCGUAAACGAUGAGUGCUAAGUGUUAGGGGGUUUCCGCCCCUUAGUGCUGCAGCUAACGCAUUAAGCACUCCGCCUGGGGAGUACGGCCGCAAGGCUG